GGGGGCGCGUUUAAAACGACCACAGAAUGCUAAUCUAUGACCCCCUUGGUUAAAGUCCAAGGCACCCUCG
rnacentral:tRNA from 2 species